rnacentral:misc_RNA from 1 species
AUCUUCUGCAUUGUUGUCUCUUAACCACUAAGACGAGUAUGGUCUUUUGUUGUACCAAACAAACCUCAUUCUGAGAAUCUACCACGGUUUCAGCCACCUACCGGGGUGGCCAGCGGCCUGAUCGUCAUGAGCGAGUUGAAACGCCAGAUUCUUCAGGGACGCCGGAAGGCAGAGGAGAGGCUUGGGGAGUGGCGCACGCACCAGCACUCGACUUGACACGGAAGAGGAUCCCCUGGCGACGAAUGUACUUGGGGUCACCAGCGGGAACAUCCUGAGGGAUACAGGAGAGGUCAGGGUCCGCUGUUGGGCCUUGAGCAGACGAUGGAUGUUAAGGAGCUGUGAGAGUGCGUAAGCAGCGAUGGAGGUUGCAUCAUCGGGGGAGUUGAGAGACAUAGUCGUUGGUUCGACCGACUGCUGAAAGCACUGAACGUGCCUUCACUACGUGCAGCACUAUCUCGUUUGCCAAGCUUCAAAACAAGACUACACGGUCCAACCACCACCACCUCCUGCCUCGUCCAAGGUCCUCAAACCUCACCAGCGAAUUGAAGUUGAUUGGGCUGGACCUUUCAUCUUCCUCAAGUCCAAAUGGUACGUUUGUGUAUUUGUUGAUAUGUUCUCUGGGUUUACAGCUUUUUACCCUACAAGAACCUCUUCUGCCAUUGAUUUUCGGUUGGCUUUCUACAACUGGAUCUCCUCCAAUGGUGUUCCCGAGUCCAUCCUCUCCGACAAUGCUAGUGUCCUUUGAGAUGUAGCUAGAAGUAUGGGUCAAGGGUUGAGAAUUGUUGGCCUUACAGGUUCCGACCAACUGGUUGAGAUUCUGUCGGCAUACGCAACAACAAGAGCUGGCAAGGAUGUGGUGUAGUCGAUAGACAUCUCAUUGACACCUGCCCAACCUGUCCGUGUUUAGGAUGGCUGAUCCUCAAUCUCGGAAAAUUGGAUCGGUGGCCUGGCUCAUGACUUCAAAGUCGUCAAGGCCGCUUCUGUAGGUGUGAGCCAGGUAGUAGCCUGGCCUCUAUAAUGGUCGACACACGACCGAGCCCUGUCUCUCAGCUCGGUGUACUGCUGACUGUUUCGUGGAAAAUGUCCACGAAUGGAUAAUCUGGGGUGGCGUAGAGAACAAAACUGGUCAUGUUGUGAACAUUGCUGAGAUGAGGUGUAGGGGCUAGACAAUGGUGUUGUCUUG